rnacentral:rRNA from 1 species
UGGGGAAUAUUGCACAAUGGGCGCAAGCCUGAUGCAGCCAUGCCGCGUGUAUGAAGAAGGCCUUCGGGUUGUAAAGUACUUUCAGUCGGGAGGAAGGUGGUAAGGUUAAUAACCUUAUCAAUUGACGUUACCGACAGAAGAAGCACCGGCUAACUCCGUGCCAGCAGCCGCGGUAAUACGGAGGGUGCAAGCGUUAAUCGGAAUUACUGGGCGUAAAGCGCACGCAGGCGGUUGAUUGAGUCAGAUGUGAAAUCCCCGGGCUUAACCCGGGAAUUGCAUCUGAUACUGGUCAGCUAGAGUCUUGGAGAGGGGGGUAGAAUUCCAUGUGUAGCGGUGAAAUGCGUAGAGAUGUGGAGGAAUACCGGUGGCGAAGGCGGCCCCCUGGACAAAGACUGACGCUCAGGUGCGAAAGCGGGGGGAGCAAACAGG